rnacentral:rRNA from 1 species
UAUUAAAGGCAACGCCUGCCCAGUGAAUAAUUAAACGGCCGCGGUAUCCUAACCGUGCAAAGGUAGCGUAAUCACUUGUCUAUUAAUUAUAGACCCGUAUGAAAGGCAUAAUGAGGGUCUAACUGUCUCUUUUAGUCAAUCAAUUAAACUGAUCCCCUAGUCCAAAAGCUAGGAUACUACCAUAAGACCAGAAGACCCUGUGAAGCUUUUAACUAAACUAUUAAACCCAUUAAUAACUCCUUUAGGUUGGGGCGACCUUGGAAAAAAAAAGAACUUCCAAACAUACAAUACAACAAUAUUGAUACAGGCCAACAAGCCAACCAACGACCCAGCACAGCUGACAAUUGAACCAAGUUACUCCAGGGAUAACAGCGCUAUCUUCUUCAAGAGCCCAUAUCAAAAAGAAGGUUUACGACCUCGAUGUUGGAUCAGGACAUCCUAACGGUGCAGCCGCUGUUAAGGGUUCGUUUGUUCAACGAUUAACAGUCCUACGUGAUCUG